UGCAAGUCGAGCGAUGGAUUAGAGCUUGCUCCUUAUGUGUUUCCGGCGGACGGGUGAAUAACACGUGGGUACCCUGCCCAUAACAGUGGAUAUAUCUCCGGGAACCCGGGGCUAAUACCGAUAUAACAUUUUGCACCGCAUGGUGCAAAAUUGAAAGGCGGCUUCGGCUGUCUCUUAUGGAUGGACCCGCGUCGCAUUAUCUAGGUGGUGAGGUAACGGCUCACCAGGGCAACGAUGCGUACCCGACCUGAGAGGGUGAUCGGCCACACUGGGACUGACACACGGCCCACACUCCUACGGGAGGCAGCAAUAGGGAAUCUUCCGCAGUGGACGAAAGUCUGACGGAGCAACCCCGCGUGAGUGAUGAAGGUUUUCGGGUCGUAAAACUCUGUUGUUAGGGAAGAACAAGUGCUAGUUGAAUAAGGUGGCACCUUGACGGUACCUAACCAAAAAGCCACGGCUAACUACGUGCCAGCAGCCGCGGUAAUACGUAGGUGGCAAGCGUUAUCCGGAAUUAUUGGGCGUAAAGCGCGCGCAGGUGGUUUCUUAAGUCUGAUGUGAAAGCCCACGGCUCAACCGUGGAGGGUCAUUGGAAACUGGGAGACUUGAGUGCAGAAGAGGAGAGUGGAAUUCCAUGUGUAGCGGAGAUAUGCGUAGAGAUAUGGAGGAACACCAGUGGCGAAGCGCGACUCUCUGGUCUGUAUCUGACACUGACGCGCGAAAGCGUGGGGAGCACACAGGGAUUAUAUACCCUGGUACUCCACCGCCGUAAACGGAUGACGCUAAGUGUUACAGGGGUCUCCCGCCCCUUAUAAGUGCUGGAAGAUAACCGACUACUUAAAUCAUCUCC
rnacentral:rRNA from 1 species